AAAUUCAUUAAAGAUAGCCCCAGCACAUCAUGAGUUGGACCGGAUGAGCCAUGAGCUGGUCCCAUGAGGGCACUGUGACAAUAUCACCAAUGGGUAUAAAUUGGCAGUUCCCACACCUCAGAAGAGGUAAGACCUCAGUAAGGAGAGCAAGAAAGUGGUUCAGCAAGAGCUCCAGGAGAGGAGGCAUGGGGGACAUGAUGCUUGGCUGCAUUUCUGAUAUCUUAUCCAGGAGGACCACACUCUUGCUCUACCCCUCCUGCAGCUUGAUCAGAU
rnacentral:lncRNA from 1 species